UCAGGAUGAACGCUAGCUACAGGCUUAACACAUGCAAGUCGAGGGGCAGCAUUGGGAUAGCUUGCUAUUCAGAUGGCGACCGGCGCACGGGUGAGUAACGCGUAUCCAACCUUCCUGCCAGUAGGGAACAGCCCGGCGAAAGUCGGAUUAAUGCCCUAUGUUCUUCAAUGCGGACAUCUAAGUUGAAGGAAAGAUUCAUCGCUGGCAGAUGGGGAUGCGUCCGAUUAGCUUGCCGGCGGGGUAACGGCCCACCGGGGCGACGAUCGGUAGGGGUUCUGAGAGGAAGGUCCCCCACACUGGUACUGAGACACGGACCAGACUCCUACGGGAGGCAGCAGUGAGGAAUAUUGGUCAAUGGGCGUAAGCCUGAACCAGCCAAGUAGCGUGCAGGAUGACGGCCCUACGGGUUGUAAACUGCUUUUAUGCGGGGAUAAAGUGCGGCACGUGUGCCGCUUUGCAGGUACCGCAUGAAUAAGGACCGGCUAAUUCCGUGCCAGCCGCCGC
rnacentral:rRNA from 1 species